UUUUUUGUGAAAAAUCUUGUGUCCGAAUUAGAGAAAGAGACGACGAACGUUUCGAUCGAGAUUUCGAAACGUCGUUUAUAUUUUUCGUUAUUUAAAGCUUCUUUUUUAUUUUUUUUUAAAUUUUUUUUUCUGGGCUAUACAUAUUUUACAAUGUUUAUCGUAUGUGUACGUAGAUACUAUUUCUAUAUUAAACUUUAUAAGCGUAGAUUUUUACCGCGGUAAUUUUUUUUUUUUUUUCAUUAUUAUUACUAUUAUCGAAAGAAACGAGGAAAAGAGAUAGACCGAAAAAUAUAAAAAAAAAAAAAACACUUUCGGAUAUUGUCCGUGCAUAAUAGUAGGCACCCCCAACCACCCUCAACUCCCACCCCCUUCCCAUCCUGAAGUGAUACGCAUAGGAAAACAAAUAUAAUAACAAUGAGAAUAGACAAACGGACGCGGGGCGAUACGCGGAGGUGUUUGUAUAUGAUUUUUACCAUAUUUUUUUUAUUUUUUUUUUAACCCCCUCAAGUCAUUUUUUUUUUUUUUU